rnacentral:lncRNA from 1 species
UUGGGUACCUACAAUGUGGUAGUUACCAAGAUAGUCACUAGAAAUAUAGAACUCAUGGAACUUACGUUCAAAGUGGGGUGGGAGCAGAUUUAAAGGAGAAACAAAAAGAGCAUGGUAUAUAAUGGUAAGAAGUGAUCAGGUCCAUGAGACAGAGCUGCAAGCAAAGGAAACUCCUCUUGAAAUGGUAACAGUUUUCAAAAUGUGGUUGCACAUCCUUCCUAGGGAGUGGGGAUAGAGGCUGAAACACUCUCAGGGAGUCCACAAGUCAAGAUAAUUUUCAUAAUAACACUAAGAUGUUAGUUUCCACUUUUCAUUGUGUAGUAGUUCCCCCUUUAUUCACAGUUUCACUUUCUGUGGCUUCAGUUACCCAAAGCCAACUGUGGUCCAAAAAUAUUAAAUGGAAAUUCCAGAAAUAAAUAUUUCUCAAGUUUUAAGUUGCCACCAUUCUAAGUAACAUGAUGAACUCUCAUGCUGUCCUGUUCAAUCCUGCUGAGGAUUUGAAUCAUUCCUUUGUUCAGCAUGUCCAUGCUAUAUGUGCUACUCUCCCAUUAGUCACUCAGUAGCCAUCUUGGUUAUUAGAUCAACUGUCACUGUACUGCAAUGCUUCCAUUCUAUACUCUUAAAGGGUAGCCUAAUACUAUGUCACAGUGCUUAUGUAAUUCACUUCAUUUCAUCUCAUCAUGGGGGAAUUGUAUCAUAUUAUCCCAAGAAGGUUGAGCACAAUAAGAUAUUUUGAGACACAUACACACACACACACACACACCUCAUUCACAAAAUUUUAUUAAAGCAUAUUAUUAUAAUUGUUCUAUUUAUUAU